GAGUUGGCUGCGUUUGGAGAUCCCUCGGCCUGAGAGCACCAGAUUCUCAAAACAGUAAGUCCUACCACUUGUUCUAUCGUAAAACUUAUUUUGGGCAAGUCACUCAAGCCUUCGAUAGGUAAGAUAGUACCUGAAAGCAUUCCAGCUCAACUCUGCCCCAAGAGGGAGCCACCCCAUGGAAGGACGGAGCUGAGCAACAUGCCACUCAAAGGAAAAGCACUUAGAACCACUCUAAUGCAGACUUUGGAGCCACAUGUGGGUUUGAAUCUCAACUCUACCUGAGUGACCCUGGGCAAGUCACUUCACUUCCCUGAGACUCAAGUUUCAUCAAGAUGGGAACAAUGAGCAUCUGCCUCACAGGCUUGUCGUGAGGAUUAAGUGAGAAGGUGCAGCUGCAAAGACAUCAAGCUGGACCCAUCGAGGAUUUCGGAUUCAGCCAUCAUGGGGCUGCUGCCGGGGAAGCCACUGCCCCUCCUUUCUCCUCAGCACUGGGGUUAUAAAAAAAUACCUACAAACC
rnacentral:lncRNA from 1 species